GAACCAGCGGGCCACCUCAGGGUGAAUCAAUGAGAUCAGUUUGAACCAGUGUGCCCACUCAGGGUGGAUCAAUGAGAUCAAGGACCACGACAUGGGCACUGACACGAUCCGUCCCAAAUCACCUUAAUGGACUUGACACGUGUCAUGCGCUGAUGAUAGAUACCAACUAAAUACCUAACCCACCACCAAGACAACUUUGACUUGCUUGACUGAAAAAUAUUUUUAACAGAAUGUUGACAGAUUUUCUCCUGAAAUACGAACUAAAACCACCUGAACAAUAACCAAUUUUCCUCAAAUCAAUACCUAUAAUAUAAAUCAGGGUAUGCCAGUCCCUCAAAAUACAAACUAUUCAAAUAAAAUGCUGGAAAAUCAAUAUUUACUUGCUUUACAACCAACAAUCCUCAAAUAUAAUAAAAAUACCAAAUACCUAAUGAGCUCAUAAUGAACCUUUCUGAUUUAAGCUACAUGCAUCCCAAAAGAACAUCUAAUGUAUAAUCUGAUAAAGGAUGUAUACAACCUAUGAUGCGUGGCUCAAUUCGGUGGUUCGACAGGCUUCAAAAGUGCUCAAAUCAUAUGCUUUCUGUCUGAUAAAGAAAAAGGUGAAAAUAUAUUUAUGAGCUUAAAGCUCAAUGAGUGGAUAAUUUACAAAUAAACAUAUUUUUCUUUUAUGCAUAUAUUCUGAAAAUUCUUGCUCCAUCAAAACCUUGAGAAAUUC
rnacentral:lncRNA from 1 species